CCGAAGGAUUCUUGUGAAGCCAGGCAAAAACGGCCUGCUUGGGGACCCAGCAAACUCACAGGGCUUUUCCCACUGCUUCCUCUACCUUCGUAUUUUGCUCAGCUCUCUAAAUUGACUCAGCUCCAGGCCUGGGGCAGGAGCAGAACUACUACAAAUGCAUUUUCACCUGGGUGAAAAGACUUGCAGCUAGAGCCAGGCUAAGAAGAUAGACCUGCUAUGAUAUACAUAGAAUCAUAGACUGGAAGUUUGCUCAACGCCACGUGGAAGCGGCCAAGGCGUGGGGCCUGCACCCUCUGAAGCAAUGCCUCAAGCUGUACCUUGGCCCAUUUUCACCAUGGCUGGAGCUGGAGCAGCAGGGACACAGGUCACCAAGUCACCAGGCUGCACACAGCAGUGGAGCCCUGGGCCUGACCCACAAUCUAUUUUUUCCUCCUAGGCUUCAGGACCUAUGAAGGGAGGGGCUGCCAUUAAGAUCUCUGACAUGCCUUGGAGACAUUUUCUUCAUUGUCUUGGUGAUUAACCUCUUUUCUUAUGCAAAUUUAUGCAGUGGGCUUAAAUUUCUCCCCAGAAAUUGGUGUUUUUCUUUUUUAUCGCAUUGUCAGGCUGCAAAUUUUCCAAACUUUUAUGCUCUGCUUCCCUUUUAAACGUAAGGUUUAAUUUCAGAUCACCUCUCAAGUUCAAAAUUCCACAUAUUUUUAGGGCAGGGGCAAUAUAUUGCCAGUCUCUUUGUUAAAGCAUAGCAAGAGUGGCCUUUGCUCCUGUCAGGCCUCUGAGCCCAAGCCAAGCCAUCACAUCCCCUGUGACCUGCAUGUACACAUCCAGAUGGCCGGUUCCUGCCUUAACUGAUGACAUUCCACCACAAAAGAAGUGAAAAUGCUCUGUUCCUGCCUUAACCGAUGACAUUAUCUUGUGAAAUUCCUUCUCCUGGCUCAUCCUGGCUCAAAAGCUCCCCUACUGAGCACCUUGUGACCCCCCCACUCCUGCCUGCCAGAGAACAACCCCCCUUUGACUGUAAUUUUCCUUUACCUACCCAAAUCUCAUAAAAUGGCCCCACCCUUAUCUCCCUUCGCUGACUCUCUUUUUGGACUCAGCCUGCCUGCACCCAUGUGAAAUAAACAGCCUCGUUGGUCACACAAAGCCUGUUUGGUGGUCUCUUCAUACGGAUGCAAGUGAAAUUUUGGUGCCGUGACUCGGAUUGGGGGACUUCCCUUGGGAGAUCAAUCCCCUGUCCUCCUGCUCUUUGUUCUGUGAGAAAGAUCCACCUAUGAUCUCUGGUCAUCAGACCAACCAGCCCAAGGAACAUCUCACCAAUUUUAAAUC
rnacentral:lncRNA from 10 species